AUGUCAGCAUCUUGUAAUAUUUAUUUAGAGCUCACACCCCUACCGGCCCAUAACAGAUGGGCUUUCAGCUCAGCAAGGUGUCUCAAGGUCCCAGGAUGUGUGAAGACCCCCAAAACACAUUUGCAUUUCCAUUGUUUGUUACAAAGUUUUACGUCAUUUACCAACUAUCAACAUUCUCACAGUCAUCGUGUUGGGGUCUCUGAGCCAAAAUUCAAUUUAUUUUGAAAGUGUUUUGUUUUCUGAUUUUAGUUCAUCUGAUUUGAAAUGCACUUCCAGGCAGCUGUAUAAAUAUCUGUCCAGUUACUUGCUAAAUGAAGGUGUGCACAUGUGCACAUGACCUCUGUGACAUGAGCAUGGCUUAUGUUUGUGCUGUUUCUCCUGAGGGACGAAUGUCUAUUUUCUUUGUAUUGAAUGCCGGAGGGUUUUGCCUUCUUUAAAUUUAGUUACUGAACUUAAGGUUUUUUUUUUUUUAAUACUUAGAAUAUACAGUGAAGGAACUACUGACUGUGAGAGCCAUUUUCAAGAAAUUCAGUGUUAAUAGUAAUUUUAAUAUAUAUUGAAGUAUUAGUCAACAUUGAAAUUGACCCUAAUUUACUUUAAGACGUGUUCUUGGUCCUUGUUGUGAAAGAUUCAUCUGAUUAUGUUAUUCCAAAGAAUUUUUGAUAUCCAAUUAUCCAUGUGAGCUAAUGGAUAAUGUAAGUAGCCAAAUCUAUUUAAACAUUAUUUUAGUGUACACAAUUCAUAUUCUGACUUCAUUUUGGUAUGGUACACCCUGUGUCCUGGUCAUAAUUCUCAAUAGAUGAAAUCAAAUCCUGCUCCACAUUUUUCUUGUUGAAUACACUGAUUUACACUGAAAUAUGUAUGGUUGCAAACAGCAAUUCACGUUGACAUUAUGAAAAUUUGUAAUGAUUUUGAACAUGAAAAGCACACUGGAUAAAAUCAAAAUAUGUGUUAGUUAUUGUAAUUCAUGUUUUAAUUCUGUUUUUUUUUCUGUAUUUAUUUUAAGUGUUUAAAACGAUAUGACUAUUUGCUGAAGACUAAUUUUAGAUGACAUUUUCUAAAUAGUUUAUUUAGAUGAACAGUUUCACUAAAUCUACCCUUUACUCACUAAUGUAAUGAAAAGAAAUAAAUAAAAGAUUACUUUUGUUUUUCUUUUGUGUAGUUUGAUGAAAUGCAAACUGAUUUAUUUGUUUUCAAUAAAUAAUUAAUUAGAAUUAUUAUUGUAGCAGCAUUUACUUUCAUUACUUUGAAUCACAAACACUUAAAGGGAUAGUUCACCCAAAAAUGAAAAUUCUGCCAAUAAUUACUCACCCUCAUGUCAUACCAAACCUGUAAGACUUUCGUUCAUCUUCAGAACAUAAAUUAAGAUAUUUUGGUUGAAAUCCGAGAGCUUUCUGACCCUCCAAAGAGAGCAAGGUAUCUAAAAUGUUCCCAGACCCAGAAAUGUAGUAAGGACGUUGUUAAAGUAGUCCAUGUGACAUCAGUGGUUCAAUCGUAAUUUUACGAAGCUACGAGAAGCAAAGAAAAGAAAAAUAAUGUCUUUAUUCAGCAAUUCUUUUUCUCUAAGUGACCAUCUUCCGCCUCUGCUCGUAAACAAGGCACAGCGGUGGUACUCUCGUUAAUGGUGGAAAAUGGGACGAGGAGGAGAAGAAUUGUUGAAUAAAGUUGUUUUUAUUUUAUUUAUUUUUCUUUGUGCACAAAAAAGUGUUCUAGUAGCUUCAUAAAAUUACGAUUGAACCAUUGAUGUCACAUGGACUAUUUUAACAAUGUCCUAACUACAUUUCUGGGUCUGGAAACAUUUCAGUUACAUUGCGCUCUACGCAGGAUCAGAAAGCUCUUGGAUUUCAUCAAAAAUAUCUCCAGAAUUUGUGUUCUGGAGAUGAAUGAAGGUCUUACAGGUUUGGAAGGACAUGAGGGUGAGUAAGUAAUGACAGAACUGACCAUUUUUGGGUGAACUAACCCUUUAAUGGUAGUUAA
rnacentral:lncRNA from 1 species